AUUGAACGCUGGCGGCAGGCCUAACACAUGCAAGUCGAGCGGAUGAAGGGAGCUUGCUCCUGGAUUCAGCGGCGGACGGGUGAGUAAUGCCUAGGAAUCUGCCUGGUAGUGGGGGAUAACGUCCGGAAACGGGCGCUAAUACCGCAUACGUCCUGAGGGAGAAAGUGGGGGAUCUUCGGACCUCACGCUAUCAGAUGAGCCUAGGUCGGAUUAGCUAGUUGGUGGGGUAAAGGCCUACCAAGGCGACGAUCCGUAACUGGUCUGAGAGGAUGAUCCGUCACACUGGAAGUGAGACACGGUCCAGACUCCUACGGUAGGCAGCAGUGGGGAAUAUUGGACAAUGGGCGAAAGCCUGAUCCAGCCAUGCCGCGUGUGUGAAGAAGGUCUUCGGAUUGUAAAGCACUUUAAGUUGGGAGGAAGGGCAGUAAGUUAAUACCUUGCUGUUUUGACGUUACCAACAGAAUAAGCACCGGCUAACUUCGUG
rnacentral:rRNA from 1 species